rnacentral:miRNA from 1 species
CAUGUGCGUGCAGGUGUUUAGGUGUGUGCAUGCAGGUGCAUGCACAUGAACACACACACACACACACACACACACACAAACACACACACACAU